rnacentral:rRNA from 1 species
UACGAAGGGUGCAAGCGUUAAUCGGAAUUACUGGGCGUAAAGGGUGCGUAGGCGGUUAGUUAAGUCUGUUGUGAAAUCCCCGGGCUCAACCUGGGAAUGGCAAUGGAUACUGGCUGGCUAGAGUGUGUCAGAGGAUGGUGGAAUUCCCGGUGUAGCGGUGAAAUGCGUAGAGAUCGGGAGGAACACCAGUGGCGAAGGCGGUUACCUGGGGCUUUGCUGACGCUGAUGCGCGAAAGCGUGGGGAGCGAUCCGG